AACGGGUGAGUAACACGUGGGCAAUCUGCCCUUCACUCUGGGACAAGCCCUGGAAACGGGGUCUAAUACCGGAUACGACUGCGGAAGGCAUCUUCCGCGGUGGAAAGCUCCGGCGGUGAAGGAUGAGCCCGCGGCCUAUCAGCUUGUUGGUGGGGUAAUGGCCUACCAAGGCGACGACGGGUAGCCGGCCUGAGAGGGCGACCGGCCACACUGGGACUGAGACACGGCCCAGACUCCUACGGGAGGCAGCAGUGGGGAAUAUUGCACAAUGGGCGAAAGCCUGAUGCAGCGACGCCGCGUGAGGGAUGACGGCCUUCGGGUUGUAAACCUCUUUCAGCAGGGAAGAAGCGAAAGUGACGGUACCUGCAGAAGAAGCGCCGGCUAACUACGUGCCAGCAGCCGCGGUAAUACGUAGGGCGCAAGCGUUGUCCGGAAUUAUUGGGCGUAAAGAGCUCGUAGGCGGCCAGUCACGUCGGAUGUGAAAGCCCGAGGCUUAACCUCGGGUCUGCAUUCGAUACGGGCUGGCUAGAGUGUGGUAGGGGAGAUCGGAAUUCCUGGUGUAGCGGUGAAAUGCGCAGAUAUCAGGAGGAACACCGGUGGCGAAGGCGGAUCUCUGGGCCAUUACUGACGCUGAGGAGCGAAAGCGUGGGGAGCGAACAGGAUUAGAUACCCUGGUAGUCCACGCCGUAAACGUUGGGAACUAGGUGUUGGCGACAUUCCACGUCGUCGGUGCCGCAGCUAACGCAUUAAGUUCCCCGCCUGGGGAGUACGGCCCCAAGGCUAAAACUAAAAGGAAUUGCCGGGGUCCCCCACAAGCGGCGGAGCAUGUGGCUUAAUUCGACGCAACGCGAAGAACCUUACCAAGGCUUGACAUAUACCGGAAACAUCCAGAGAUGGGUGCCCCCUUGUGGUCGGUAUACAGGUGGUGCAUGGCUGUCGUCAGCUCGUGUCGUGAGAUGUUGGGUUAAGUCCCGCAACGAGCGCAACCCUUGUCCUGUGUUGCCAGCAUGCCCUUCGGGGUGAUGGGGACUCACAGGAGACCGCCGGGGUCAACUCGGAGGAAGGUGGGGACGACGUCAAGUCAUCAUGCCCCUUAUGUCUUGGGCUGCACACGUGCUACAAUGGCCGGUACAAUGAGCUGCGAUACCGUGAGGUGGAGCGAAUCUCAAAAAGCCGGUCUCAGUUCGGAUUGGGGUCUGCAACUCGACCCCAUGAAGUCGGAGUCGCUAGUAAUCGCAGAUCAGCAUUGCUGCGGUGAAUACGUUCCCGGGCCUUGUACACACCGCCCGUCACGUCACGAAAGUCGGUAACACCCGAAGCCGGUGGCCCA
rnacentral:rRNA from 1 species